UCUCUCUCUGUCCCUCCCCCACUCAUGCUCUGUCUCUGUCUCAAAAAUAAAUAAACUAUAAAAAAAAUAAAUUUCAGGCUUUUUAAGGUAAGAGGUUUACCUAUAAAAAGGAUAACCCAGAUGGAAGAAAAAAGAGGCAGAAAAUAAAGCUACACAAUAAGUGUUUAGAAAAAUAAUCCAGAUGGGACAAAUGUGAAAGCAGACUUCUGUGAGUACGGUUAAGAAUCCUAAUGCAAAGAGAAAAAAAACAAAACACAUACACACAUAAUGGUGCUUAUUGGUUGAUUAAAACUAGCUAAUGGCACUUGACAAUUGUGUCCUCUAUUACGAUUUGGAAAAAAGUAUAAUCAUUAGUGAUAUGUAAACGUUUAUAGCCCACCAAAACUGGGUUGGGAACAGGCUUGUAAAUUGUCCUUUGAAGCAUGAGGAAGGAGUAAGAUUUAUUUGAGUAGCUUCAACUCCCUUAAUGGGAAAAAUAAGAACUGAAGUAAUAAGCACCUAACCCCAAGGGGUCCCGGUGUAGCUUUGAACAGCAGGAAUUGCUGUCAGUGCCAGGAUUUAUUUUAGUAAAAAAACCCAAAACACAACUAUGCAGUAUACAAAGAACUUUGGCUCCUCUGAGGACAUCCUAGUAUACAAUUAAAUCCAAACACCCAUACUUUGACCUCACAUGCAUCUGGCCUAAGGGGAGCCAGGAACCUAGGAACAGAGAGGCUCCAGAGAAGUAAAUCUCCCGUCCACCCCUCCCCUGUGCCAACACCCAUUCCCUCAUGGGCUGUUCUAACUUGUGGACAGCUGGACAUGGUCCGGAACCCCAUACCAGGCUCCUUUCUCCCCCAGUAACCUAGUGCUCACAGUGCAGAUGUUAGGUUUAGAGAGUGGAUAUACUAAUGAAAAGUCAUGUGAAACUUUAUUUUCAAUGGCUGAAUGAUUUUAAACAUUCUGUGGGAACUCAGUUAAUUUCCCAAAUGAAAAUAACUUUUUAGUAUAUGUAAAACGAAAUUUAUAACUACUGUAGAUUUGGACACAAACAAAAAAUAAACACGUAAAGAUCACCCCACAAUCCAUCAUUUGGCAAAAAACAUUUAAUAGUUUGGUAAACAUUCACUUGAUUUGCUUGGGUUAUAUUUUAUACACUGUGUGUCAUACUAUUUUGUAAUCUGUUUUUUACUAAUUCUAGUAAAAUAAUUUUCCUAUGUAAAUUGAAUAUAGUGUUUUAGUUUGUGGGAGACCCAUACUUUAUUUAACCAAUUUUUCCAUUAGUGGACCUAGAAAUUUUUUUCCAAGUUUUCCCUGUUAAAAUGAAUACGGUGAUGAAUGUUACAUGCAAACAUCAUACUGUACUUCUUUCCUUAGGAUUCUUAAUGUGAAGUAACAAUUUUAAGGAUUAAACAGGUUUAAAAGUUUGAUUCCUACAGCUUAACUCUCCUGAAGGGUCCAACAGUUUACACUCCCACCAAGAUGAGGCUCUCUUGUAUGUGUUUUACUCGGACUGUAAUACAAGGGGAAGGCAUUUACUCCGUGAGAAAAGCAGUACACAUCUUUUCUGCAGAAGUGCCCAUAUGUCCAGCCAACGCAUGCCACGAGAAAAGAAAAACAUUGAAGCACUAACGGCUUUGAGUAACCCCCCUUGUACCUCUGGUUUGCUGUUAUCCUAAUUUUAUUUUUUUUAUACUGUAAAAGGUGCACAAACUUAUAAAAAGACUAGAGUUAAGAGUCA